AGAAUCAACGCUUGCGGCGUGCCUAACACAUGCAAGUCGAACGAGAAAGUGGUAGCAAUACCAUGAGUAAAGUGGCGCACGGGUGAGUAACACGUGACUAACCUACCCUUGAGUGGGGGAUAACUGAGGGAAACCUUAGCUAAUACCGCAUAAUACCCACGGGUCAAAGGAGCAAUUCGCUCGAGGAGGGGGUCGCGGCCGAUUAGUUAGUUGGCAGGGUAAUGGCCUACCAAGACGAUGAUCGGUAUCCGGCCUGAGAGGGCGCACGGACACACUGGAACUGAAACACGGUCCAGACUCCUACGGGAGGCAGCAGUGGGGAAUUUUGCGCAAUGGGGGAAACCCUGACGCAGCAACGCCGCGUGGAGGAUGAAGUCCUUCGGGACGUAAACUCCUUUCGAUCGGGACGAUUAUGACGGUACCGGAAGAAGAAGCCCCGGCUAACUUCGUGCCAGCAGCCGC
rnacentral:rRNA from 1 species